rnacentral:rRNA from 1 species
GAUGAACGCUGGCGGCGCGCCUAACACAUGCAAGUCGAACGAUUAAAGCACCUUCGGGUGUGUAUAAAGUGGCGAACGGCUGAGUAACACGUGGGCACCCUGCCCCUUUCAUCGGGAUAGCCACGGGAAACCGCGGAUAAUACCGAAUACUUCGAGACUUCCGCAUGGAAGACUCGAGAAAGCUCCGGCGGAGAGGGAUGGGCCCGCGGCCUGUUAGCUUGUUGGUGGGGUAACGGCCUACCAAGGCAAUGAGGGGUAGCUGGGUUGAGAGACCGACCAGCCAGAUUGGGACUGAGACACGGCCCAGACUCCUACGGGAGGCAGCAGUGGGGAAUCUUGCACAAUGGGCGAAAGCCUGAUGCAGCGACGCCGCGUGCGGGAUGAAGGCCUUCGGGUUGUAAACCGCUUUCAGCAGGGACGAGGCGAAAGUGACGGUACCUGCAGAAGAAGCCCCGGCUAACUACGUG